CAUCCUGUCCAGUUUUUCUGCAUCUUGCAAUUCUUGGUUCCUUUGUCUGUUGCCUCAGGUGUGAAAUUUGAUUGCGGAAGGAUGCUAGGAAGGCCUCCGGUGAGGAAUCCCGCUCCACUUCGUCUGCGGUUCGCUGGCCGGGUCGUGCUACGGCAAAGCAUCCAUGAGCUGAGAAGGUCAGCAAGCAGAUACUUUAUAUGUCCUGGACCAGCUCUCACUGAAAACUCCUAAUGAGUGCAGGGAUUCAGCUUGACAGGCAGCUACAUGAAGCACUCAACAGAAAGGAGGAACUAUCCGGUGAUUCUUAGACCGGGCAGUCUUCCGAUGAAGUGGCUCAUUCGAAGAGCAGGCAUGUCUGAUGGUAAUUGCUCAGGUACAACAAUGGAGCAGACGACUCCUGCUGCUGUUAUUGUUGAUAGAGACGAGAAAGUGGUUGUUAGCGGGUAUGCAUGGACCGUGCCGUGGUUCCACGAAGAUUACUACGGGCCGGUCGGCCAUGAAUCAAACCACCACGCAGAUCUUUACUUACCUUAGAGUAGUAGUAGUUAUUUUCUCUCAAUGCUACAGCCUGGUUUGGAGCUGGGAUAAUGUAAAAGGGAAAAGAAGCAUCAUGUAGUUCUGCUAUUGUGUGUUGAGUUUUUAUGUCACAUAGUUAGUUCAACAUGGUGUCCAUCAUAUAAAAGACAGUGAGUAUGACUCUCUGCCAAGACGAGUUCUGAUUGUGUGCUUUUUUCCCCAGUUGUGCACCUUCUUAUUUUGUAUGUGUGUCAACUUUAUGAAUUGUCAAGAGAAACAAAAGUACACUCGCAACUCUGCAGCAGUGCAUUAUAUUUGUGGAUAGCUAAGUGUUUAAAAUGUUCA